GUCCCUGUAGUGUAGCCUGGAUAGCACAUAAGAUUGCGGAUCUUGUAGCCGGGGUUCAAAUCCUCGCAGGGACG
rnacentral:tRNA from 2 species